AUGGAGCUUUGCGAGGCUGCAUGGGUUGUUGGCUCUGCCAUCGAUCCCGAUGUGUUCAAGUGGUAUAUGUCACAAAGAACAUAUACACUACUCUCAUUGGUUGCAGUAGAAGUAUCUUGGGCUGAGGUUGUUGUGUACACCCAGCCCCAAUCACUGUCGGGAUCUUUAGGGCAGAAGGUCACCAUCUCCUGUACUCGCAGCAGUGGCAGCAUUGAUAGCAAUUCUGUAUCUUGGUAUCUUCAGCGUUCAGAAAACACACCCCGUCUGCUCAUCUACAGAUACGACCUAAGACCCUCUGGGGCUCCUGAUCGGUUCUCUGGCUCUAAGGACAGCUCCUCCAACUCUGCCACCCUAACUAUCUCUGGGUUGCAGGCUGAGGAUGAAGCUGACUACUACUGUCUGUCUGGCUAUGACAACUAUUUCACACAGAGCCUCAGACUUAUGGGGAACUGA